AGCCGGGGAAGUAGCGGCGUCCUGUACCUGCAAUCCGCUAUAGCAGGGGUGAUGCUUUGCCUCGGAUACAUCCUGUAGGGCUGCCCUUUAUAAGUGGCGUUGAAGUUCAGGUCUUACGCAGCGGGACUCUAUGAACCGUGUCAGGUCAGGAAUGGAGCAGCACUAAGUAGAAUCUCCCGGGUGACGUGAGGCAGCCUGAGCCGAGUUAACUGUAGAGGUAACGCUUAUGGGCU
rnacentral:SRP_RNA from 1 species